AUUGAACGCUGGCGGCAGGCUUAACACAUGCAAGUCGAACGAGUGGCGGACGGGUGAGUAAUGCUUGGGAAUCUGGCUUAUGGAGGGGGAUAACGACGGGAAACUGUCGCUAAUACCGCAUACCAUCAGAUGUGCCCAGAUGGGAUUAGCUAGUAGGUGGGGUAACGGCUCACCUAGGCGACGAUCCCUAGCUGGUCUGAGAGGAUGACCAGCCACACUGGAACUGAGACACGGUCCAGACUCCUACGGGAGGCAGCAGUGGGGAAUAUUGCACAAUGGGCGCAAGCCUGAUGCAGCCAUGCCGCGUGUGUGAAGAAGGCCUUCGGGUUGUAAAGCACUUUCAGCGGGGAGGCGUUACCCGCAGAAGAAGCACCGGCUAACUCCGUGCCAGCAGCCGCGGUAAUAC
rnacentral:rRNA from 1 species